GCAGUCGAACGAACUUCCGUUAUUGAUUAUGACGUGCUUGCACUGAAUGAGAUUUUAACACGAAGUGAGUGGCGGACGGGUGAGUAACACGUGGGUAACCUGCCCAGAAGCAGGGGAUAACACCUGGAAACAGAUGCUAAUACCGUAUAACAGAGAAAACCGCCUGGUUUUCUUUUAAAAGAUGGCUCUGCUAUCACUUCUGGAUGGACCCGCGGCGCAUUAGCUAGUUGGUGAGGUAACGGCUCACCAAGGCGAUGAUGCGUAGCCGACCUGAGAGGGUAAUCGGCCACAUUGGGACUGAGACACGGCCCAGACUCCUACGGGAGGCAGCAGUAGGGAAUCUUCCACAAUGGACGCAAGUCUGAUGGAGCAACGCCGCGUGAGUGAAGAAGGGUUUCGGCUCGUAAAGCUCUGUUGUUAAAGAAGAACGUGGGUGAGAGUAACUGUUCACCCAGUGACGGUAUUUAACCAGAAAGCCACGGCUAACUACGUGCCAGCAGCCGCGGUAAUACGUAGGUGGCAAGCGUUAUCCGGAUUUAUUGGGCGUAAAGCGAGCGCAGGCGGUCUUUUAAGUCUAAUGUGAAAGCCUUCGGCUCAACCGAAGAAGUGCAUUGGAAACUGGGAGACUUGAGUGCAGAAGAGGACAGUGGAACUCCAUGUGUAGCGGUGAAAUGCGUAGAUAUAUGGAAGAACACCAGUGGCGAAGGCGGCUGUCUGGUCUGUAACUGACGCUGAGGCUCGAAAGCAUGGGUAGCGAACAGGAUUAGAUACCCUGGUAGUCCAUGCCGUAAACGAUGAUUACUAAGUGUUGGAGGGUUUCCGCCCUUCAGUGCUGCAGCUAACGCAUUAAGUAAUCCGCCUGGGGAGUACGACCGCAAGGUUGAAACUCAAAAGAAUUGACGGGGGCCCGCACAAGCGGUGGAGCAUGUGGUUUAAUUCGAAGCUACGCGAAGAACCUUACCAGGUCUUGACAUCUUCUGCCAACCUAAGAGAUUAGGCGUUCCCUUCGGGGACAGAAUGACAGGUGGUGCAUGGUUGUCGUCAGCUCGUGUCGUGAGAUGUUGGGUUAAGUCCCGCAACGAGCGCAACCCUUAUUACUAGUUGCCAGCAUUCAGUUGGGCACUCUAGUGAGACUGCCGGUGACAAACCGGAGGAAGGUGGGGACGACGUCAAAUCAUCAUGCCCCUUAUGACCUGGGCUACACACGUGCUACAAUGGAUGGUACAACGAGUCGCGAAACCGCGAGGUUUAGCUAAUCUCUUAAAACCAUUCUCAGUUCGGACUGUAGGCUGCAACUCGCCUACACGAAGUCGGAAUCGCUAGUAAUCGCGGAUCAGCAUGCCGCGGUGAAUACGUUCCCGGGCCUUGUACACACCGCCCGUCACACCAUGAGAGUUUGUAACACCCAAAGCCGGUGGGGUA
rnacentral:rRNA from 1 species